GCAUAUUAACUGACAAUGUAUAGGCAGCUGAGUGGGCACACUAGGACAAAUCUAUAAAUUCUGUACAACAAUUUUCUUAUAAAUUAUCAGUUUUGCCAUCUUUUCAAUUGUAGCACUUUGGUGCCUUUUGCUAGUGUUUUAUUUACUUUUUGGUGUAGUGCAUUCGAUUUACCCAACUUUUCUACAUAGCUCUAAAAAGUCAUCAGAAUUAUGGUGUCUUCUUA